rnacentral:rRNA from 1 species
GAUGAACGCUGGCGGCGUGCCUAAUACAUGCAAGUCGAGCGAACAGACGAGGAGCUUGCUCCUCUGACGUUAGCGGCGGACGGGUAAGUAACACGUGGAUAACCUACCUAUAAGACUGGGAUAACUUCGGGAAACAUGAGCUAAGACCGGGUAAUAUAUUGAACCGCAUGGUUCAAUAAUAAAAGACGGUGUUGCUGUCACUUAUAUAUUGAUACGCGCCUCAUUAGCUAGUUGGUAAGGUAACGGCUUACCAAGGGAACGAUGCGUAGCCGACCUGGGAGGGUGAUCGGCCCCGCCGGAACGGGGGCACGGCCACGAGUCCUACGGGAGGCGGCAGUAGGGAAUCCUCCGGAAUGGGCGGAAGCCUGACGGAGCAACGCCGCGUGAGUGAUGAAGGUAUUCGGAUCGCAAAACUAUGUUAUUAGGGAAGAAAAAUUGUGUAAGUAACUAUGCAAGUAUUGACGGUACCUACUCAGAAAGCCACGGCUAACUACGUG